rnacentral:tRNA from 1 species
UCCCAGGUAGCUCAGAUGGUAAAGUGUCUGCUUGUAGUGUGGGAGACCCGGGUUUGAUCCCUGGUUCGGGAA